rnacentral:lncRNA from 1 species
AGCAAGAUCACUUUUUAAGUAUCCAGAAAGCUCUUUCUUAUGUUGAAUUAUGUCCAGAGGCAUAACUAGACUGAAGGUUUAGACUCCAUUCAUUCUCCUAUGUUUUUGUUCGUGAAUUCAUUAAAAGAGCUAACAACAAUGAAGUUAAUGUACGCAUCUCACCUCUCAAGAGUAUUAACAGUAUUAACACAUGGGAAAUCAUAAAGUUUUCAUUCUGAGCAGUGUGUCUUUGAAUGUUUUGACCACGCAGAGAUGGGAUUAUCAUGGUAAAAUCCACUCUAUGGAUUUACCAUAAUCUUGGUGGUAACGUGUUAACAGAAGCAAUAUUUAUUAUGAGAGUUAAAGUUUCAUUUGGUUUAGGUUCAUAUUUUCUUUCUCCUGUCAGUCUGCAAUGGCUCCCUAACAUAAUUCCAGAGAGCAUAUGAUGUGCUAGGCUCUGUGUAGGGGACAGGAGCACAGUGGUAAACCAACGU